AUGACAGAUGUCAAUGACGAGGGACAAGUUAUAGGGCAUCAAACAAACUUGCCAAAUGGAUUUUAUCGAGAUAUUGUCACCGUCACAUUUAAAGGGUUUGGCCUUACUUUCAGCAAAAUCCUUACCACUUUCAAAGUGAUUGAUUUCUCAAACAACUCAUUUUAUGGUCCUGUUCCGGAGUCAAUUGGAAGGCUUGUUUCACUGCAUGGACUUAACAUGUCACAUAACAACUUUACAGGGGAAAUUCCGUCCGAUUUUGGAAACUUGUCUCAGCUAGAGUCAUUGGAACUAUCUUGGAACCGGAUCUCAGGGAAGAUACCAAAAGAGUUAGCCUCUCUUACCUCUCUUGAAUGGUUGAAUCUUUCAUACAACAACUUGUCCGGAAGAAUUCCGCAUGGGAACCAGUUCUUGACAUUUUCUAACAGCUCAUUAAAAGGGAAUGGUGGCCUCUGUGGACUUCCACUCUCCAAACAAUGUGGAUCUCCAGGUUCAAAUGCAGUGGCUCCUCCUGAAUCCAACAGUUUGUGGCAGGACAAACUUGGUAUCAUCCUCCUGUUUGCUUUUGUUGGCCUCGGGUUUGGAGUGGGCUUCGCAUUGUCAUGCAUGUUACGAUUGUUCUGCCACCAAGAAGGAUGA
rnacentral:rRNA from 1 species